CUGGAAAAUAGAUUGGCAAGAUGUUGGCAUAAGCUGCGAAACAUAUAUCAAAACUGCAGCUAUGUUUCAUCAUGCCAGUCUGUCGC
rnacentral:pre_miRNA from 1 species